AGUCAGACAAUCGCAGGCAGAAAUGCGUGAGGAAAGUCCGGGCUCCAUAGAGCGAGAGUGCCAGAUAACGUCUGGCGUAGGUAACUAUAGGGAAAGUGCAACAGAAACAUUCCGCCGAAACAGUUAGGCUGUGGUAAGGUUGAAAUGGUGAGGUAAGAGCUCACCGGCGUUUUGGAAACAAAGCGGCCGUGUAAACCCCACUCGGAGCAAGACCAAAUAAGGAUGUAAGGGUAGCUGCUCGUUAUCCCCUGGAAGGUAGGUCGCUUGAGCAUAGCAGCGAUGUUAUGCCUAGAUAGAUGAUUGUCAAAUACAGAACCCGGCUUAUAGACUUGCCCA
rnacentral:RNase_P_RNA from 1 species